rnacentral:rRNA from 1 species
UGCAAGUCGAACGGUAGCACAGAAGAGCUUGCUCUUUGGGUGACGAGUGGCGGACGGGUGAGUAAUGUCUGGGGAUCUGCCCGGCAGAGGGGGAUAACUACUGGAAACGGUAGCUAAUACCGCAUAACCUCGCAGGAGCAAAGAGGGGGACCUUAGGGCCUCUCGCUGUCGGAUGAACCCAGAUGGGAUUAGCUAGUAGGUGAGGUAACGGCUCACCCAGGCGACGAUCCCUAGCUGGUCUGAGAGGAUGACCAGCCACACUGGAACUGAGACACGGUCCAGACUCCUACGGGAGGCAGCAGUGGGGAAUAUUGCACAAUGGGCGCAAGCCUGAUGCAGCCAUGCCGCGUGUAUGAAGAAGGCCUUCGGGUUGUAAAGUACUUUCAGCGGGGAGGAAGGGUUGUGGGCGAAUACCCUGCGACAUUGACGUUACCCGCAGAAGAAGCACCGGCUAACUCCGUGCCAGCAGCCGCGGUAAUACGGAGGGUGCGAGCGUUAAUCGGAAUUACUGGGCGUAAAGCGCACGCAGGCGGUCUGUCAAGUCAGAUGUGAAAUCCCCGGGCUUAACCUGGGAACUG